UCAUUUUCAGUCCAUUCAUAAGAGCCAUGCACAUUGAUUCUGGUCACCUGCACAUCUUUCUUUGCCUACAACUCCCAUGAGGCAGAGAGGAAU